GAACCUGAGUUUCUUUGUAUCUUUAUUGAACCAGCAUGGAAGGAGGACAUUGCUGGACGGUACUCAGACACUUUCAUCAGUUACAGCUGACCAGGAAGCAGGGCAGAGGACGGUGGAACACAGAAAAGUUGGGACUUUGUCCGUUAGGCGAUGGCCAAUCAUACUCCACCUCUACCUCAGAACACAGUUUCCUUCUUGCUGACGAGGGAGGGCCAUCCGCCGUGGGCACGGGAGACUGGGGGUUCGGUCACGUCGUCAGCCAGACUGGCGCCGGUGCAGUCCUCGUAGAAGAGGUGCAGGUAGGAGCGGACCCCGUACCACUUCCCGCGCUCCACAUUGGGCCCCCGGCUGCAGCCGCACAACUGGUUGCGGGCAGGCAUGGGGUCUGGGGAGGAGAUUGAGAACACCCGUCAGGACAUCCCUUCAUGGCUGAUGCUGAGCUCAGGGACUUGAAUGCCUCCAGGAGCGGAGCUAGCCCUGUGCCCCGUGGGCACGGCACGUCGGGGAUACCCACAAGACACGUCCAGGCCCCAUCCUGCAGCCGGAUGCCAGGACACAACUGCAGCCAGACAUUCACAUUCUGCUGAGCACAGUCCUCUCCUGAGCUUUGAGCCAGACCUGGUGAUUGAGAUCCUGUUUGCCACACACACAGUCCUGCAGGCUGCUGAGUGCCCCUCUCCCCUUUUCCAUGUGCGUGUGUGCAUACACAGCACACAGAGGACACAGCGCAGACGCACGCACCUUUAAAGGGUAACUCAACACUUUAUUCUUCUCUCAGCUCCCAGCCUUCCCUGCAAAGCAAACAACAAAUGCGUAAUUUGCUAUUUUAAUGGGAGAAGCAAAUCCCAGGCAUUGUCUCAGGGUGUGAAUGAGCUUUUUCACUAUAUUAAAAACGGGGCAUGUCCCGGAGUUCUGGCACAGUUAAGAGUGGAGGGACUUUGGGGCCGGUGGGUUGUUUUAAGGGAUUCUGUUGGGCGGAGUCGCCGUCAGAGCCUCUGGGACAAAAAGGGCCCUAGUUUCCUCUUCACUCCCCCCUUUCCUUGGGUGGAGGAUAGUACUGGCCCCCAAGGUACCGUCCUGUCAGUAGCUGCUACCCCCGCUGGCCAGCAGAUGUCACGGUGACCUACACAGCAGCAGUCUCGUUUCUUGUCUGUUGGUCUCAUAGAAGCGUGGGGGGACCCUGCCCUGGGCUGCUCUGAGGCUCAGGCAGGUCUGGGGGAUGGUGCCAGAGAAGGAGAA